rnacentral:rRNA from 1 species
AACGAACGCUGGCGGCGUGCUUAACACAUGCAAGUCGAACGGAAAGUCCCUGCUUUGUUGCGCUGCGCUAGUGGCGAACGGGUGAGUAACACUUAAGUAACCUGCCAUUCCCUUUGGGGUAACUUCAUGAAACUGGAUCUAAUACCGGAUAGGAUCUCCUGCUGCAUGGUGGGGGUUGGAAAGUUUCGGCGGUUGGGGAUGGACUCGCGGCUUAUGAGCUUGUUGGUUGGGUAGUGGCAUACCAAGGCUUUGACCGGUAGCAGGCCUGAGAGGGUGACCGGCCCCAUUGGGACUGAGAUAAGGCACAGCCUAGACUGGGAGGCAACAGAGGGGAAUAUUGUACAGUGGGAGGGAGCAUGGUGUGACAACGCCGCGUGCGGGAAGACGGCCUGCGGGUAGUAAACCGCAUCUGUUUGAGACGAAGCGUGAGUGACGGUACCGGGUAAAGAAGCACCGGCUAACUACGUG